UACGUAGGGGGCAAGCGUUGUCCGGAUUUAUUGGGCGUAAAGAGCGUGUAGGCGGCUAGGUAGGUCCGUUGUGAAAACUCGAGGCUCAACCUCGAGACGCCGAUGGAAACCAUCUGGCUAGAGUCCGGAAGAGGAGAGUGGAAUUCCUGGUGUAGCGGUGAAAUGCGCAGAUAUCAGGAGGAACACCGGUGGCGAAGGCGGUUCUCUGGGCCUUACCUGACGCUGAGGAGCGAAAGCGUGGGGAGCAAACAGG
rnacentral:rRNA from 1 species